CCACCAACCCCGCGUCCCUGGCCCCUCACCGCUCGCAGAGCCGCGCCGCAUCGUGCCACAACCCAACUGACCUUCUCUCCCUGCUCUAUAGCCCCCCGCCGAGUCACCAGCAAGCCAAGCGCUAGCCACCGCCGUCGCCUGCUGCGGUUGGUGUCGUGCAUGCCAGCUGGCGCGCCCCCAAGCACUCCAGCAAGUCGUGCUCAUCCGCAGCUAGGUCGGUAACCCUGACAUGCCCCGCCGUCUAGCCCCGCCUCCCCUGUUCGCCAACAGUGGUCACCGCCGCCGUGCUUAUCCUCAGGAUUCCGAUGAACCGACUCGACCGUGGCUAUAUAAAUGCACAUACCCCUCUAGCAUCAUCAUUUCCUCUCCCUGCAACCCCCUGAGCAUUCUCAAAGCAGCAAGUCGACCGGGGGAUCCGAAUUUCUCCUCCUCCGACAAGCGUGGCCGCCGAGGACACCGGUCGAUUCCCAUGCUUCCACAGCCCCCCUCUCCCCGUUCCUGCUACAUAAGCUUCGGUAUGACCAUGCUAAACCACUCACCUCCUCAAAUUUUCCGUGAGAGAGCCCGUAGGAGGAACCCCAUUUUCAUCCGAUGCCGCCGCCCACCGGGAAGCUCGCCAUCGGCAGCUGUGUCCGUCCCAAAGGUCGUGGAGCCCCGCCACCAGGCCGCCUCGAGACCCUGAGCACGACGGUGCGGUCGACAUCCGGUGUCGUGUCCCCAAUCACCGGUGAGGCUCGUCGGGAGCUCCUCCUCCGCUCGGCCACAGGAGGGAGAAGGACGAUUUGACCAGGGGUCAAAUCUUUACCGGCUAUCUUACCUCGGGAAACCCAUCGAGGAAAAUUGGAGGGGAGAAUCCUUUCAAAGAUUUUGGAGUGCACACCACCCUUCUUCAUACCCAAGGCAAACAUCUUGAACACUGAUUUGUGAUAAGUUGAGUGAUUUCUUGCUGCCAUGAGUAAAUGCAUGAUUAUGUUAGUUAGACAAAAAUUUCCAUGUAAAAAAAUAUGUAUGCAUGAAUGCAUGUGAUGGGUAUUUAUUUGUUGUUGACCACAAAAUACAUAUGAUAGUGGGUACUGCCUCCUACCACAUAUGCCUAUGCUGGUCCGGACAACCUCAUAGUAAGGUUUGUUGUGGGUAAAAGUGUGACCGUGAAACUGAUAUCUCUUUGUGACGAGAGUGAUCGGUGAGGGCAUAUCGGGGUAUGAUGGUGGUAACAGGGUCGGAUAUCAUUUGGAAAUUUUGUGAUGCUAACCAUUGCAGGAAAACUUAAAACUCCUGAGUCGAUCGUAGAUCGAGUCUUGUGCCAGUAACCCUCAUACUAGAUUUGUGCUACCACUUGUCCCUGACACGGGUAGGGUAUAGUUCAGUAAGUCGUCAACCCCUUUUCUUGCACACACACCAUACAGAGAGGCCAUAGUGAAAGAUACCACUUAUCACUGGUAGGCUUGUCACUUGGUCCGGGGGCAUGGAUGAUUGGAUUGGACCGAGGGGGUAGCGCCCCUCUUUGCACGCGGUAAAAUUUUGUUGAUCCCUUGCUAAUCGAGAGUGUGGUCUCCCCACUUAGAGUUUUUCUUAAUGAUUGCCUUGGGUGAUUCGUGGCAUUGGGAAGUUAAGCUGGUGUGUGCGGGUCAGGUGUGGUUUCAACCUAAAGACCGUAAGCGGAAUUAGCCAACAUUUCAGGUUGACUAAGGAAAUUUGUUACUUGUAGGUACAGAGUACACCCUCUAUAAAAUUAAAUAUCUAUUCGAGUAGUCGAGUCCGCUGGUAAGGACUAAAGGCUAGGUUAUGUAAAGUGUCGUUCUAAGUGUCAGUCUUUGGAGGAAUUAAUUGAAGCAUCAUGAUGAUCAUGAACCAUGGUGGAUGAUCAUAAUUAUUAGGAAUAUUGUUGUGGACUAACCAUUUCUUGCAUAAGAAUGUUUGAGUGUCCCUUCGGAAGGUUCUACCUUCUAGAUACUCAUUGUUACUAUUUUCAUAUAAGCCCUUUAUGUGGCGUCGCUCACACACCCGAGUGUGGCAAUUGUUAUUUUCAUAUAAACCCUUUAUGUGACGUCGCUCCAAACGCUCGUUUGUGCCAACUGUUAUUAUUUUCAUAUAAGCCCUUUAUGUAGCAUCGCUCACACGCCCGAAUGUGGCAAUUGUUAUUAUUUCUAUAUAAGCCCUUUAUGUGGCUUCACUCAAAUGCCCGGCCGAGGCACAUUUUAUAUUGUUAUCCUUUCGAGGCGUCCCUUCACACAACCGAUCGGAGUGUCCUUAUUUCCUCGCAAUUUUUGAGAGGUUUACCGCCCGAUGUUCCAUUUUACUUUUAUUAUCGUUCAUUGAUUGCUUAUUUACCUUCAGUAGGGAUAAAUUAUAUUAUUACUUGCUUUUAAGAAUUUAUCUUAAGACUGAUUUAAUAUUUGUAAUUAAUUUUGCUACAUAUAAAUCGCUGAUGUGUUAUGCAUGCAUGUUAUUACUUACUCAUUGUUAUUAUAUUCUUAUAAGGCCUUUUAUGGUUUUGUCGAUUCUUAUUUCAUUAUAAGCCCAUUAUGUGGUGUCUCCCAAGACGCCGACUGUUGCAUUAUAUUUAUUGUGAUGAUAUAAGUCCCUUUAUGUGACGUUGCUUAGACACCCGAUUCCGACUCAUAUUGCGUGUCCUUUCGAGUUGUUGCUUCAAGCGCCCGAUCGACACAUUCAAGUUAUUGUUACGCUCUUCCUUGAUUUCUUAUACAUAAUUGGCAGGAAUGAUUUAUCUCCAUAAUUGCAUCCAUAAAUUAAAUCUUAUGGCACAUUAGGGUUAUUAAGAUUUUAGUGCAUGCAUCUCACCUGCUUUUACUUAUCUACUUUCAUGAUGUUUGCGAGUACAUUCAAAGUACUUACUGGAUUGUCCCUGACUAUUGUCUUGGCCACAUUGCAUAUUUGGAGAGGAGCACGAUGAUGACACCCGGAACCUAAGCAUCGAGGAUAGCAGCCUUGCGAGAUAGGAGUUAUCCAGGUUACCUAUUCCUGUGGUAAUGGAGACCCUUGGACGUUGGAGACCCAUGAGUAGCUUCCGCCAUCAGCCACUAGGUGAAUUGUUAUACCCCAUGGUCCUUCAUGGUCUUGUACCCCAAAUUUUGUAAAUUACUUGGAAUUUCUGUAUCAUGUGAGUGUCCACCAGCUAAUAGUAAUCCUAGGGCUCGUGAACGCAAGGACAUGUUACUAGGGGUUUUAUAUCCCAUAAAACGGGUCACGACACUUGGUCAAUGAAAGUUUAUUCACAUGGAUUUCAUAAUUA